rnacentral:rRNA from 1 species
GACGAACGCUGGCGGCGUGCUUAACACAUGCAAGUCGAACGAUGAAGCUAGAGCUUGCUCUGGUGAAUUAGUGGCGAACGGGUGAGUAACACGUGAGUAACCUGCCCCGCACUCUGGGAUAACUGCUGGAAACGGUAGCUAAUACUGGAUACGACCUACGAAGGCAUCUUCUGUAGGUGGAAAGAAUUUCGGUUCGGGAUGGACUCGCGGCCUAUCAGCUUGUUGGUGAGGUAAUGGCUAACCAAGGCGACGACGGGUAGCCGGCCUGAGAGGGUGACCGGCCACACUGGGACUGAGACACGGCCCAGACUCCUACGGGAGGCAGCAGUGGGGAAUACUGCACAAUGGGCGCAAGCCUGAUGCGGCAACGCCGCGUGAGGGAUGACGGCCUUCGGGUUGUAAACCUCUUUUAGUAGGGAAGAAGCGAAAGUGACGGUACCUGCAGAAAAAGCACCGGCUAACUACGUGCCAGCCGCCGCCGUAA